UCUCCUUAAGCUUAUCUGCGUUUUUUUUUCCAGUCACCGGCGAACCACCUGCGCCAUCAACACAUUGCCGGCACCAUCCCUCUCUCCUCUUCCUCUUGCUCUCUUCCUCUGUCCCUGUCUUAGGCUAGCGCGAAGACCACAGCAGAGCCGCAGCGAACCGCGACGCCACCAAGUCGAGGCGAACCUCUGUUGCGCGCCACCAGCUGCUCCUCAGCCAGAUCGCGCUGCCGCUACACAGCCCCUUCUCCGGCCUUCGAUCGAACGAGCGCAGCACCACCACAAAUUCCAGCUCGUCGCACCGCCACCAUCGCCUCGAUCUGUUGUGCCACAGCUCCACCAUCGCUCCAUUGCGUCUCCGGCAGCCAGGAACAGGCUCUGCGAGCCUCUGUCGCACCACCAGCGAUCUUCUUCUUCCUCCAGCAGGUCUGUUCCGCCUUGCCUGCGGCCACAGUUCGGUUGCCGCUGCUCUAGAACGAUUCCGGCCACCCACUUGCAGUUCCAGUGCGCAUAACUCCGAUCCGGCACGUGUAAAUCUCCGAUCUAGCGAAAUCCGACAAGAAAAAAAAUUAUACUUGGGUCUUAAAUUCCUUAGAUCGCUCGGGUCUGUCUAGUGCUCCUCUCGGACAUAAUCAAAGCUAAAGCUUCGUUCUCCACCACUGUACUAGGAAGUAGCCGGUUCGAUUGAAGCUCUGCAGUCUUCUCCGCAGAGUUACAAAUGUAAAAUUUAUAUUUUUGUUAUUUAAAAUGGGUUGUAUAAAUUACUCUACUAUCAGAUUAUUGUUGAACUCCGCAGUUAUAGAAUUGUGUAUAUUAAAUUGGGUCUUACCGUACACAUCACGCUAAAAAUAAUUUAUCGUGUAAUUAAUUACAGGUGAA